rnacentral:rRNA from 1 species
GACGAACGCUGGCGGCGUGCUUAACACAUGCAAGUCGAACGGAAAGGCUCUGCUUUUGUGGGGUGCUCGAGUGGCGAACGGGUGAGUAACACGUGAGUAACCUGCCCUUGACUUUGGGAUAACUUCAGGAAACUGGGGCUAAUAUCGGAUAGGAGCUCCUGCUGCAUGGCGGGGGUUCGAAAGUUUCGGCGGUUGGGGCUGGACUCGCGGCUUAUCAGCUUGUUGGUGGGGUAGUGGCUUACCAAGGCUUUGACGGGUAGCCGGCCUGAGAGGGUGACCGGCCACAUUGGGACUGAGAUACGGCCCAGACUCCUACGGGAGGCAGCAGUGGGGAAUAUUGCACAAUGGGCGGAAGCCGGAUGCAGCAACGCCGCGUGCGGGAUGACGGCCUUCGGGUUGUAAACCGCUUUCGCCUGUGACGAAGCGUGAGUGACGGUAAUGGGUAAAGAAGCACCGGCUAACUACGUG